AUCCUAGUACUACUCACGCCCAAG
rnacentral:siRNA from 1 species